CCAAAAAUAGUGGGUGGUGCUAUUUGAUUUAAAGACCCGAAUCAAAUGGCUUAAAAUCAAUCAAUUUAUAUUCAUUAUGUAUUUGUUUACCAAUAUAUUUGCAAACGCUAUCCAAAACUUGACAAAGAAAAGCCGAAUGCUUUAGUUUUCGGACUUGGUACCACAAUCCCAAAGAUUGUCUUAAAUGGAUUGUAUAUGUACCUAAGUAGUCUAAUCCGCACAAUCUUCCUAUUG
rnacentral:lncRNA from 1 species